ensembl:lncRNA
UAGACUCCGUCCCGGCACUGAGAGCCCAGCAGGUGUCUGUGACCAGGCGUUCCCCUGUCAGGCUCCCAGCACCCGCCUGGCCUUUCACCGGGAGGUGAUGUAAGCGGACCCCUGGCUGCAGCCCUCCUCCCUGGAUCAGCCUCCUGGAAACUUUCUAGGGCCUGCUGGAUGGCCCGCGGCCCUGUAGGUGCCAGGCCUGUGAUUUCUGCUGGAUUUUGGCCUCAGUGGGGAUCUGUCCACGGGAACAGUUCAGGGUCAUUUUGUUAAUCUUCAGAGGCCUUGCCCCAGAUUCUCCUCUGCUGUCCUGUGACGCUGGUGACAUUCCGGGAACACUUGGUCCACGUGAGGGGAGGAACCACUGCGGGGAACUUUGAUCAGCGCUGGCGCUGCUGGGCUCACACUGACCAUAGACCACGCCAGACACACUUCUGCUCCCUAGGAAGAGCCAGGGCGGCCUGUGCGUGUCCUCUCAGCCCCUCACGGAGAUUUUGAAGAAACAAACUGGAUGCAGACUGGCUUGCUUUCUUGCAGCAUAAGGAUUGCUAAGGCAUCCCAAAGCACCUCCUUCCAACAGAUGGGGGUGGCUCCUUGCCCUGAUGUCGUGCAUGUCCCACCGUCCGGUGAUUUCCUGCCAUUUGCCAGCAGUGGCAGACGGUUCAACAUUUCCCGAAGCCUGCAAACGGGUCGAUUCGGCGGCUCAGGGAGCCCCCUUGUGGCACGCUGGACGAACGGCUCCCCUCACGGGGCGCGGCGCUUUCCUCUCUGGAAGUCACAACCCGCCCCCCGCCUCCCCGCCGAAGGGACAGCCGAACACAUCGACUCGGUGGCGCCGGGGCCGCUCCCGGGCAGGCGGAGAGAGCUGCCGAGGCUUCUGGCUCCUGCAGCUCUGGGCAAAUGCCAGGCCGCUGGGUGCCCGCGCCCGUGGGGCGGCGGGCGGGGGCCUGAGGUUCCAGGGCGGCACCGCCACCUCCUGGCGCGCUCUAGUCCGUCCCCUUGAUGCUGCGCGUCUUGCACCGUGGGACAGCCCUGCACGACAGCGAGUUGUCAGGCGUCGCCCAUGACUUGCAAACGGGCCUCCAGGCACUGCUGUGUGAAAUGCUGUAGUGAGCUCAGCCUGCCACUGUGACACAGGAGAACCCAAGGUUGUCCUUCUAGCUUGGACACUUUCAGUUUUCCAGGACCGCAACUUAGCAUGUACCUGCUGGGAAGACUGUGCUUUGCCUUCUUUGCAAUUUUAUCAUGGUUGUUCAGCAUUUUGGAAAAUAUCCCUGCACCCCGCCUCCCUUAACCCUUAUUUCAAAAACUCAAAUAUAAACAGAAAGCAGCUUCUCUUUAAAUUCCUCCUUUCCUCGUUAUCUAGUAGGUGAAAGCCUCUGAUGAUUUCAUCAGAUCUCUGGUGAGGUUGAACCUGAGCAUUUUCACGUGGGGAUAAAUAUUAUUUUAUCAUAAACUACCUUUUAUUUCUAAUUUAUUACAGUUAGAACAUUUAAUUUUUAAAUUCUCUGUGAGAUCUGAUUAUACUAUCUGUGAAAUUUAUUUCAGGAGACUGAAGGGGGUGUUAAGAAUCAGUUGCUAUGGGGAAUCAUUUGCUAUGGGGCGCCUGGGUGGCUCAGAUGGUUGGGUGUCUGCCUUCGGCUCGGGUCAUGAUCUCAGGGUCCUGGAAUCAAGUCCCACUUGAUCGGGCUCCUUGCUUAGCAGGAAGCCUGUUUCUCCCUCUGCCUGCCGCUCGCCCUGCUUGUUACUCUCCCUCUCUCUCUGGCAAAUAAAUAAAUAAAAUCUUUAAAAAUAAAUCAUUUGCUGUAACAGGGGUGUUGGAUCUGUCAGCGAUGAAAUCCACUGUUCC